GAUGAACGCUGGCGGCGUGCCUAAUACAUGCAAGUCGAGCGAACAGAUGAGGAGCUUGCUCCUCUGACGUUAGCGGCGGACGGGUGAGUAACACGUGGAUAACCUACCUAUAAGACUGGGAUAACUACGGGAAACCGGAGCUAAUACCGGAUAAUAUAUUGAACCGCAUGGUUCAAUAGUGAAGGACGGUUUUGCUGUCACUUAUAGAUGGAUCCGCGCCGCAUUAGCUAGUUGGUAAGGUAACGGCUUACCAAGGCAACGAUGCGUAGCCGACCUGAGAGGGUGAUCGGCCACACUGGAACUGAGACACGGUCCAGACUCCUACGGGAGGCAGCAGUAGGGAAUCUUCCGCAAUGGGCGAAAGCCUGACGGAGCAACGCCGCGUGAGUGAUGAAGGUCUUCGGAUCGUAAAACUCUGUUAUUAGGGAAGAACAAAUGUGUAAGUAACUAUGCACGUCUUGACGGUACCUAAUCAGAAAGCCACGGCUAACUACGUG
rnacentral:rRNA from 1 species